GGACAGAGCAGGGCUGGCGGGAGGCAGGCAAAAGACGGAAUUUUCCUGAAAAAACGGGGGUAUCUGAGGACCCCAAAUUUGGGGAGCUAGUCCAGGACCGUCCUCCCAACAUCCUAGAUUUUUUUGGGAUUUUUUGGGGACCCCGGGACCCCUCUAGAUGGGGUGAGGAAUGUAGUGUUGGGUGAAUCUGACUGGGGCAUUGCAGCUGCCUCUCCCGCCGAGUUGGAGACGGAUGGGCUGGGACGGGUUUUGGGGGGGUGUCCCCAAUUCUGACUGGGAGUGGAGGAACCCCUCCUGAGAUCUCUUGUGGGGGUGCCCCCUCCCCAGGGCACUCCCCAGUCCCUGAGCCAGCCGAGAGGAAGGAGGCCAGCGAUGCGACUGGGGCGGCUCCUUUCUCCUGCACCCCAAAUGUGAGGGAUGCACCCUAAAUUUUGCUCUUUUCAAAAUAGGGGACCAGGAUCUCAGGGGAGAGUAGCUGAGGCCUUGCUCGGAGUCCCAGGAGAUCCACAGGUCCGGCAUGAACAGUGAGAGGUCAGAGGUGGAAGGCUCAGCAGGAGAGGAGAGGAGGAUCAGCAGAGGUCAUGAGAAGGCCAGAAUCCAGGGUCAGGCUGUCUGGAACAGGAAGUAAAAUGGGCCGAGAUGGAGCGAGCCCCCAGUGUGCUUCCAAGGCCACUCCCACCUCCCUGAAACACCCUGCUACGUACUGAUCCAAUGCCCUGCGCUGUGUAUGAGAGCACCUUCUCUUCUGAAACCCCUAUACAAGGGAGGGGCCCCUGCGGAGACCGUGCCCUGCCAUCCAGGUGAGCCCUUUCUCCCCAACCCCGUCAGCUGUGUGGGAGGAGGAGGACUCCUACCCUGGUCGAAGUUGAGUUUCUUAGCUGGAGGAGUUUCUCCUAGCCCUUCAAUAUCCACCACGUCACUGUUGGCAUCGGAGUCGUUCAGAGCACUGAGUGUCACAUCUGGGAAGGGGGCAUAAGCUAGGUUCUAGGUUCCCCUGACAGCCUCUCCCCCAGCCCCAAGCUUCCCAAAGCUUUGUGCCUCCUCUCCCCUCCCCUCUGCCCCUCUCUGGGAACCUCCACAGGGACAGGAAGAGAGACUGACCCUUCUUUGACCCAGGCCCAAUUCUCUCACUAAACCUCAGAUGGGACCUUUAACCCCUAGGCAGCAACUCCACAGCCCUCACCAGCCUUCUGUUUCUUUAUGGGGGGACCCCCGGCCUCAGGGACACUGGAGCUGCUGGGAGGAGGGGCAGCUGGAGGAGGUGACAAGACACCAGAUGCCACCUUCUUGGGCCCUUUCUUGGGUGACUCAGCUGGAAGGGGGAUGCCAGAAUCUUCAUAUACCUUGCGUUUCACAGUGGCCUUUAUCUGGGCCCUGAAGAAAAGAGAGAAGAGGUUAGGAAAGGAGUCAUCAGAGAGACUAACAGAAGAGGGGACGGGAGGGGAAGGGGUUCUGGGAGUCCCUUCAUAAGAAUCCAGGUCGGGGCCCCAACCCAUUGGUAGGGUUCUCACUUUCUCGAAGUUUUACACUCACUCAGGAUGGAUGGAGUGUGGAGAGUGGAGUCCCUGAACUGAGUAGUGGGAAAGGCCCAUCUCCUAAUUCUCUUCUGGGAGAGACAUCAGGUAGAGCUUGGUGAUUUACAGGUGGAUUGAGAUUUACUGAUCAACUAGUUCAGGGUCACCAUAUCCCUGGAAACACUGCAGUGGGGUCCUCAAACAUUUAUAUAAAUAACCAGGGGACUUCCAUCAUCAAAUACAAUAACAGCAUCUCAGGCAACCUAAAUUCACAUUCUUGGAAGGAUUACCACAGCAUUUUAGGAACUUCUGACCAACUGUGACAAUUCUAUUCUUUCAGUCCUCAAGGGGAUUCUAAAAAACUAGUGACAAAGUAGGGAAGCAGCUGAGCUGGAAAGGAGUUCUGAGGACGAUGGAACCUUGGGUAAGGAGGAAGAAGGCUGCCCACCCGCCCUUUUCUGGCAGCCACCCUCCCUCACACUGUCCGUUCCUUGAUGACACAGCUGAUGUGAUUAAGAUCGUCCCCAAAUCGCUUCACAGCAGCCCUCA
rnacentral:lncRNA from 1 species